rnacentral:misc_RNA from 1 species
UAAUAAGUGUUUUAUGGCACUUUUUAAGUCCAUAUCCACCUUGUGUGCAAUGUCAGCGAUCUUCUUCAUGGAGAUCGACCAAACAUCAACCUUUAUCUUUUAACUCUUUGUCUUAAAAAUAUUAUGAAUAAACAAUUCAAAAUA